rnacentral:tRNA from 2 species
GCUGGGGUAGUGAAGUGGUUAAACACGGCAGACUGUAAAUCUGCUCCCUUGCGGGUUCGGGGGUUCGAAUCCCUCCCCCAGCACCA